rnacentral:rRNA from 1 species
CCUACGGGUGGCAGCAGUAGGGAAUCUUCCACAAAGGACGCAAGUCUGAUGGAGCAACGCCGCGUGAGUGAAGAAGGUUUUCGGAUCGUAAAGCUCUGUUGUUGGUGAAGAAGGAUAGAGGUAGUAACUGGCCUUUAUUUGACGGUAAUCAACCAGAAAGUCACGGCUAACUACGUGCCAGCAGCCGCGGUAAUACGUAGGUGGCAAGCGUUGUCCGGAUUUAUUGGGCGUAAAGCGAGCGCAGGCGGAAAAAUAAGUCUAAUGUGAAAGCCCUCGGCUUAACCGAGGAACUGCAUCGGAAACUGUUUUUCUUGAGUGCAGAAGAGGAGAGUGGAACUCCAUGUGUAGCGGUGGAAUGCGUAGAUAUAUGGAAGAACACCAGUGGCGAAGGCGGCUCUCUGGUCUGCAACUGACGCUGAGGCUCGAAAGCAUGGGUAGCGAACAGGAUUAGAUACCCCUGUAGUC